rnacentral:lncRNA from 1 species
GAAUGUGCCAGGGUCAAGUCUUUACUAAUUUUCAUGGUGAAUAGAUUACAUGCUUGCAUUCAUGUUCACUUCCGAAGCGCUUAGUGUCUUCCUUCCCUUACUUACAUAUUAACCUCAAAUACCCCGCGUGGCUUCAGCCAAGCUGUACUGGAGGUAAUUAACAAUACCAGGUUCCC